rnacentral:rRNA from 1 species
GAACCGUCCAAACGUUWCUCGGAAUUACUGGGCUUAAAGGGUGCGUAGGSUGCGCGGAAAGUUGGGUGUGAAAUCCCUCGGCUCAACCGGGGAAUUGCAUUCAAAACUACCGUGCUCGAGGGAGACAGAGGUAAGCGGAACUCAGGGGGGAGCGGUGAAAUGCGUUGAUAUCUUGAGGAACACCGGUGGCGAAGGCGGCUUACUGGGUCUCUUCUGACGCUGAGGCACGAAAGCUAAGGUAGCAAACGGGAUUAGAUACCCCGGUAGUCUUAGCUGUAAACGAUGAGCACUUGUUUGGAGGGUCCUCCAUAGCCUUCCAGACGUAGCGAAAGUGUUAAGUGCUCCGCCUGGGGAGUAUGGUCGCAGGGCUG